CGAGAAGGCCCAAACGUUAUUCGGAAUUACUGGGCUUAAAGAGUUCGUAGGCGGCAUGAAAAGUAGGGUGUGAAAGCCCUCGGCUCAACCGAGGAAUUGCGCUCUAAACUGUCGUGCUCGAGGAACCUAGAGGUGAGCAGAACAGAUGGUGGAGCGGUGAAAUGCGUUGAUAUCAUCUGGAAUACCGGAGGCGAAGGCGGCUCACUGGGGGUUUUCUGACGCUGAGGAACGAAAGCCAGGGUAGCGAACGGGAUUAGAUACCCCGGUAGUCCUGGCCGUAAACGAUGAGCACUAGGCCGGAGCCCUGCACAGGGUUUCGGCCGUAGCUAAAGUGUUAAGUGCUCCGCCUGGGGAGUAUGGUCGCAAGGCUG
rnacentral:rRNA from 1 species